rnacentral:lncRNA from 1 species
CCAACAUGGUGAGACCCCGUCUCUAUUAAAAAUACAAAAAUUAGCCAAGCGUGGUGAUGGGCACCUGUAAUCGCAGCUACUCAGGAGGCUGACACAGGAGAAUCACUUGAACCCAGGAGGCGGAGGUUGCAAUGAGCUGAGAUCUUGCCACUACACUCCAGCCUGGGCAACAGAGCAAGACUCUGUCUCAAAAACAAACAAACAAAAAACCCAAAAAUAAUGAAAAUGUCUGCCCACCCUUCACUAAGUAAACAUAAUGAAAAUGCACAUCUUGUGCCCUCUUUUGCUUUUAUUCUAUAAUACCCAAGCCUACGUUUUGGAACUAAACCCCACGCCCUUUGUGUGAAAGCCAUGCAGAUCUUCAAAGGGAUCCCUUUAGGGGUCUCGCUGUGACACCCAGGCUGGAGUGCAAUGGCGCGAUCUUGGCUCACUGCAACCUCAGCUUCCCGGGUUAAAGUGAUUCUCCUGCCUCAGCCUCCCNNNNNNNNCUGGGAUUACAGGCAUGAGCCACCGCACCUGGCCUUAACUCAGAUUUUAAAUAUGAAAGUAUCAACUUGUAGGGGUGGAAGAGGUGUGAUGCCUCUCCUUACACGUUGUAUGGGUCACAGCCAAGGCUCCUAUCUCAAAAGACACAGUCCCACCUCCAGCUCCAGUUCGCCUUCUCAUUCAUCCGAGAUAAGUUUCUUGAAAGAGUAUUCUAAGACAACUCUCUCCAUGUGUCUCCAGGCCUGGAUCUGCCUCAGUUUUUGAUCCUCCCAUCUACCGUCCCUUGGUAACUAACGACUUGGGAAUGAGAAAUG